rnacentral:misc_RNA from 1 species
AUAAGAAACAUAAGAGAGUCGACCGGCGGCGAAUCCGGCGGCUUAGAAUAUACCGGGUUUUGAAGAUUAAUGUGUGGGUGACCAGACACCUUGAUAGAUGGUGACUUGUGUUCAUGCAAGUCCCUGCAGACCUUUUUUCCAUGUCUCAAAUACAUCCCAAUCACACCAACAACCUCGAAUGCCCCGUGUCUUACCAGUUGGUGUUAAGUAUUUCCCUGCAAUGUGUGUGGAACUUGCUUCAAUGUGCCCCCAAUAUGGACUUGUAUUGAAACACCGACAACAUGAAACUGCAACAAAAUACCUGCAAGGGACUCCUGUUUGCUUGCUUGGUGGCAAAGACAAGUCUGAAAGAGACAAUGAGGGUUCUCCAUGGAAUCCUUUUGAGAAGUUCAUGGGAAGUUUCAAGGGAAAGUCAGUAGAAGAUGUGUUACGGCUGCAGAUUGAAAAACAAGAAUUUUAUGAUGGAGGAAGUGGGAAAAAUCCACCUCGUGGUGGCAGCGGUGGUGGGGAUGGCUUUGGAGAUUCUGAGGAUGAAGGCCAUGCAGGAAUCAUGGAUGAAACUCUGCAAGUAGUCUUAGCUACCGUUGGCUUUAUUUUUCUGUAUGUUUACAUCAUUAGUGGGGAGGAGUUGACUCGUCUAGCGAAAGACUACAUCAAGUUUGUUUUGGGAGGAAGCAAGAGUGUUCGUUUAAAAAGAGUAAUGAACAAGUGGAAAAGGUUCUACCAGAGACUGACUGAAAAGAAGGAGGUUGACAAGUUAUGGUUGGAAAGGGCGAUUAUCAAUACCCCAACAAUGUAUGACAGCCCCACAAAAUACAGGCAAAUUUUAAGGUCCAUGUUGGCAUCAAAUGAAGAUGAGUGAUUUCACUCCUGCUAUUUCAGAGAGACGGCGUGUGCAAUGGUAGAAGCAAAAAAUUUAAGCCGCAAAGGCUUUUGACAUCAGAUUUUUUUUAUUUUUGCAGAGCUGUUUUGUAUAGUAUUUGAAAUAUAUACUUUCAGAUUGUUGGAGCUGGUGAUCAAAUUUCUUAGGAUUUUAAGAGGACAACUUAUAAUGAAAUAAACCAGUGCUUACCAAGGACUACGCAAUGG